rnacentral:misc_RNA from 1 species
CGCCUCUCUCUUCAGCUAGAGACCAUGGAGCUAUUAAGCGACCUUUGACCUCGACCAACAAUCAAGGGUUCCCGCGUUCCAGCUGCAUCAUUGCCAUUCCUUUCGUCGUGAAGUCACGCACUGCAGCGCCGUACCAACACAGACUAGUGUCUCACACCUUGAUGAGCUGAAACAUUAUUGUUAUACACAGAAUAAGACAUCUACAGAGGGAAAGGUACCUGCCUAAGCUUGACAUCAAUUUUCCUGUGUGUUUAUGUAAUAAAGCACUGAGGUAUCUGAGCGUUGAUGUACUAAGCGCCCGCAUCAAACUCUGACACGGGAUGAACGCAGCGUGUUCAUAGACAGACACACAAUACUGCAUGCAUCAUGCAGUUUCAAUUUGCUAUCGCACCCCGAUAGCAACUCAUCUGACGUGUGGACUGUAGAAAUAUUGGCGUCGCACUUUCUGUAGCGGGUCACCAAACAUUAUACCUGCAAUCUCCGGAGAGCUCGACCGUUUAGAAAGUACAGCUUGUUUACUGCAUACUUUGGUGGUGUGUGUGCAUUUCAAGGAACGCAUUACGUCUUUUGAUACGGAAGUAUGAUGAGAUGCCAGGUUGCGAUAUCAUCGAAAAACCGUAUGUAUUUUAAUUACUUUUACAGCUUUACAAUUUCACCGAUGGUAAUCGUUUAAAACUGUGAUCACAGCCCGGCGAUAGUGUAUGCAAGAUUCUCGGCUACUGGUGCUAGAUAAAUCAAUACAAACACAGGCUGAUUUUGAAUUCACUUGAACAAGGUCCUGUGAACAACGAGGUUUGAUGAAUAAAGAUGGAGGCACAGCAAAUGAACAGAAAUGACAGUAAUGGGUGGGUCAACGGACCGAUAUCCUGCGAGAGUUGGCAGCAGGCUCAACACGCCGUGUACCAACUCGGCUGCUUCAUCAUCGCCAACGGGUUCCUGGUUCCCCCCACGGUGGGGAUCGCCCAAGCCCUCUGGCUCCGUAUCUGUCUGGUCCUGGGGCUCUUCUGCCACGUGUUGUGGGCGGGUCCCGCCCUCUGCUGGCCGGAUGGGUUAGCCUGGCAGCUGGCCGCUUUCUUCGCCAACGUCGCCCAUCUCGUCUACCUGUCCUACCUGUCCUACCCGGUGAGCUUCGAUGAUGACGUCCAGAAGGUCUACCAGGCCCUCUUCAAGCCCUUCAACGUCUCACGGCAGCAGUUCCGUGUCAUGCUGGACAGUGGGGGCGACAUCUACGAGCUGGAUCGCACGGGUCACUACGCUUCGGAGGGCCGGACCAGAACGGACAGGGUGUUGUCCUUGCUCAUCUCGGGAAGGAUGCGAGUUGCCGCCAAUGGCAGGUUUCUACACCACAUUUACCCGACGCAGUUUCUUGACUCGCUUGAGUGGCAAGGAAGUCGGUCCAACUGCGGGCCAUCCACCUUUCAGGUAACAGUGACUGCCGACACUGACUGCCGUUACAUACAAUGGCAGAAGAAAGCUCUGGACAAGUUCCUUCGUAAGGAAGGCUUCAUUAGGGCGGUCUUUGAGACCACCGUGGGCAAAGACAUCACCACAAAACUCUACUCCAUCAACGAAGAGACGGUGGGCCCUUCCGCUCCAAAAAUCACCCAGAGGGUCAACAAGAGUGUCGCCCCUGCUCCGGCGCAGCGCGUCAGCGUGCCUGAGAUUGCCGAGAUCUGCCUGCCGGACGAACAGGAGGAAGACCGGGGGCUGCUCUCUCAUAAAUGGGAACGGGCGCUCUCGAUUGAUGAGGAGUCGGCUGCGGGCAUGGUUGUGGGUGGUGGGGGUGCAACCCAGCAGAAUUUAGGCGGGAUGAGCCAACUGGUCGUGCCUAGAUCUGGCAGCGUGUCCAGCCUGCAUUCGGUCCGCUCCAUGGUGGACAUCCGGGCCAGCAUUGCGUCCGGGAGGGGAGCCGACGUCGCCGGCCGGUCCAGCCUGACCCCCGGAGCGGCGGGGGACAGGUCGUCCAGGGUCAGCAGUAUGACGUCACACACUAGCGGUACACCAAGCAGUUUGAGAAGGGUUCAUUAGUGCAUGGUAUCAUCUGCGCAUGCGCAAAACAUCGUCCACUCACAUCUCGCCAUGAACCAAUGCUCGUGGAGACCGGAUCCAAGAGAAGUAGCUUCCAGUCCGACCACGGCCCCUUCCCUGAGCCGGACCGAGGGGAAACGCACUACGUCUCAUCCGUUUAAGAACA